rnacentral:rRNA from 1 species
UACGUAGGGUGCGAGCGUUGUCCGGAAUUACUGGGCGUAAAGAGCUCGUAGGUGGUUUGUCGCGUUGUUCGUGAAAACCGGGGGCUUAACCCUCGGCGUGCGGGCGAUACGGGCAGACUUGAGUACUGCAGGGGAGACUGGAAUUCCUGGUGUAGCGGUGGAAUGCGCAGAUAUCAGGAAGAACACCCGUGGCGAAAGCGGCUCUCUGGGACGGUACUGACGCUGAGACGCGAAAGCGUGGGGAGCGAACAGG